UGAGUACGAGAUGCUACGGCAUCGAAGCAGUCUAUGUCAUACUUCCAAGAAAAGCUUGCACUGUCAUAAACAAAGAAUGCCUGUACCAUAACCGACACAGGUGGGUAGGUAGAGUAUACUAAGGGGCGCGAGAUAACUCUCUCUAAGGAACUCGGCAAAAUGACUCCGUAACUUCGGGAGAAGGAGUGCCUUAUUUCUAAGGUUGCAAUAACAAGAUCCAAGCAACUGUUUACCAAAAACACAGGUCUCCGCUAAGUCGUAAGACGAUGUAUGGGGGCUGACGCCUGCCCAGUGCCAGAAGGUUAAAGAAGUUGGUUAGCAUUAGCGAAGCUGAUAACUGAAGCCCUGGUGAACGGCGGCCGUAACUAUAACGGUCCUAAGGUAGCGAAAUUCCUUGUCGGGUAAGUUCCGACCUGCACGAAUGGCGUAACGACUUCCCCACUGUCUCCGACAUCGACUCAGCGAAAUUGAAUUCCCCGUGAAGAUGCGGGGUACCCGCGGUCAGACGGAAAGACCCCGUGCACCUUUACUACAACUUUGCAGUGGUACUAGGUGGCGCAUGUGUAGGAUAGGUGGGAGCCAUUGAAGCCGGGCCGCUAGGUUCGGUGGAGGCACCCUUGAAAUACCACCCUUGCGGCACUUGGUAUCUAACCGCGGCCCGUUAUCCGGGUCCGGGACCCUGCAUGGUGGGUAGUUUGACUGGGGCGGUCGCCUCCCAAAGAGUAACGGAGGCGCGCGAAGGUUGGCUCAGGCUGGUCGGAAACCAGCCGUCGAGUGCAAGAGCAGAAGCCAGCCUGACUGCGAGAGCGACGGCUCGAGCAGAGACGAAAGUCGGCUCUAGUGAUCCGGUGGUCCCGCGUGGAAGGGCCAUCGCUCAACGGAUAAAAGGUACGCCGGGGAUAACAGGCUGAUACUCCCCAAGAGUCCCCAUCGACGGGAGUGUUUGGCACCUCGAUGUCGGCUCAUCACAUCCUGGGGCUGAAGCAGGUCCCAAGGGUUCGGCUGUUCGCCGAUUAAAGUGGUACGUGAGCUGGGUUUAGAACGUCGUGAGACAGUUCGGUCCCUAUCUGCCGUGGGUGUUCGAGACUUGCGAGGAUCUGCCCCUAGUACGAGAGGACCGGGGUGGACGAACCUCUGGUGGACCAGUUGUCGUGCCAACGGCACAGCUGGGUAGCUAAGUUCGGACAGGAUAACCGCUGAAAGCAUCUAAGCGGGAAACCCACCUCAAAACCAGGUCUCGCUCGAGAGCCGUGGAAGACCACCACGUUGAUAGGUCGGCUGUGGAAGCACCGCAAGGUGUGGAGCUAACCGAUCCUAAUCGCUC
rnacentral:rRNA from 1 species